UAAGCUGUAAAAUACAGCAGUUUGAAGCAACUCUUCAAAAGACUUUUCCAAAAGCUUCUUGAAAUUCCCAAGCGCCCAAUUCCAAUCCUUAAUUACAGCGCCCCAAAUCCAAAAACAUACCAUUUUUCAAUCAAUGUCCAUUCACAUUUUGCAAACCUACAAAACCAAUUCAUAAUUUAAAAACAGCUUAUCAAAUAAGCACUUAAAAAACUGAAAAAUAAAUGAUAAAGUAAGAAGAUUAAUUGGUUA
rnacentral:lncRNA from 1 species